CUGGGCAAACCCUGGGGCAGGAUCGGGGCUGGGUCUCCUGCCACCUGGUCCGAGCCGCGCCGCCUCCUGCCAUACAGACCCCGGAGACCGGGCGCUGCUGGAGGUGCCGUGCGCGGGGAGCAGGGCCCCCACCUGGGCCAAGGCCUCUCCUGCAGGGGAAAUGGCGGCCUGGGGCAGCCCCCGGGGGGACCAUGGAGGAGCAGGACCCAGGAGUGGACGGGGCAGGACAGGUCCCUUGCGUGGCCCAGGCCGGGCUCGGGGGUGCGUCAGCCCUGCGGGAAGUGGCGCGGGGGGGAGCCGGGGGCAGGAGGUGAGGCAGCCUGUGCAGCCCCCAUCGUGCCCCCGCCGCCCCACAGACCCCAGCGCUGGCACCGGCACGAGCUCCCCAUGCAGGGACCUGGAGCCGGCACACCCCGGGCUGCGCUACCAGGAGGCCGAGGGCCUGCGGGAGGUCUGCAUCCGCCUGCGGGAGCUGUGCCAGGGCCGCAUCCAGGAGCAGACGGCGGUGCUGGAGCUGCCCCGGCCGUCCUGCCCCAGGAGAUGCGGAGCUGGGCGUCGCGGCGCAGGGUGGAAACCUGGGACGAGGCAGUGACCCUGGCAGAGGGGUUUGGCUGGGGCAGGUGGAGGAUGAGGAGCUCCACGUGUGAGCGUUUCGCCCUGAUCGUGGGUGCUGCCAACCCCGUCUCCGUGUGCCUGGGGGAUGUUUCCUGCCCCCCCGACUCUCCCAGUCCCAGCUCCCUGGUGAUAUGUUCCUCUUGUCCCCAGGUCACGGUGAGCGUGCAGGGCGAGGAGGUGGCCUCAGACCGGUUGCAGCCCUCUGGGGCGCUGCAGCAGCCUGGCAGUCCCUGGCCGGAGCAGGCGCGGGCCCAAACUGCGGAUGCGCCUCUAGAGGCGGCAGCGCAGCGGGACUGCCCAGGGCCUCUGACUCAAGGAUUUUGACUUGAUUUGGCUUAGAACAUGAAACAUUUCUUUAAAAACAAAACAAAACUGGGUGAGGGCAUGCACGUCUACCCCUCUGCCCGUGGCUGCACCCACCUCCCCUGCCAAUGCAGAAGGGGGCAUUUUGCACCCCUGGAUGUCAUGGCCUAGCUUGCAGAGAGGUGUCAUGCAGAGGGAUUGUGGAGAGGGUGGCAGGGGCUGGAGGAUGCUGGACUGAGUGACACUGAUGGGGUAACGCUUGUGCCUGCAGCUCCAGGAGGCCUUUGAGGACGUGGCUGUGUAUUUCACACAGGAGCAGUGGGAGCUGCUGGAAGAUGCACAGAAGGGGCUUUACCGGGACCAGAUGCUGAGGAACUGGCAAGCCCUCAUUUUUGGGUAAAGCUGUUUCCCGCUUCUCCGUCCAGCUGUGUCAGCGCUGACCCUUACUGUCUUCUCCCUGCUUCUCAGCUCUCUCAUCCUCAUGAACUUUCCCGUGGGGUUUGAAAUCCAUGGCCUCCGCACAGCUCCUUGCAUGAUCACGUGUCUGUCAUGUUUAACACCAACAUCUCCGGCCUCGUUUGAUUUGGGCUCCUUCACUGGAGUCUUCCCUGUUCUUGUAACCCCCAGUGCUUCCAUAUCCAGCCACAUCUUGGCGAGUGGAUCUCCCUUUACCUUUUCAGCAUGGUCAUGUCAGCUCCAGUUCAUUGUGCAGAAAAAUUCCCUGCCAGCUGUUCCUCAGGGAAUGGGUCUGAUUUCUUCCCUGUCCCACCUGGUGUGUCCUGUCCCACACGUCAAACAGUGACUGGUCAGUCAGUGCUUUCUCCUCCUUUGGUUAUGAUGCAGCAUAAGGUCAUGGAUGUCUUCUUAGCCUGUGGUACUGCCACCCUUAGGAUUAGCAUUUACAUUACUCCAUCUCUAGCAACCUGUGCACACACAAUGGGAUCCAGGAACUUCCCUCUCCGGAUCCCUGGGAGCUUCUGCCCACGUUUCUUCCUGUGGUCUUCAUCGCCACAGGCUCUGGCUGUGUUUACGUGGAGACCUGCUCCCAAGCUCGCUCUGCCGUUCACCAAAGUUGUCAUUUCCUCCUCCCGACACCCCUCUGCAUGUCAGACACCCGUCAUAGUGAUAAAAAAGAGGUGGGCUGAGUGCAGGCCUGGUGAAAACCGGUUGUCAUUUUCAUAGGGUCUCUGAUACGGGUUUUCUAGCUUGUGGGCAGGGCUGAGGGACUUACCUUGUACCAGGUCAAUUUGCUUUUCUAGUGUUUUCUCUUCCCUCCAGUUCCCCUGAAGGACUUUCUUUGGGAACGGCUCCAAGCCUUUUAGUUGCUCAGAAAAGGCCAUGUCAGCCAUUCCUACAUUAUGGGCUUUCACAUGCUCCAAGAGGUGUCUGCUUCUGUUGUCUGUAUCCAAGACUCCCAGAACCUUUGUUUCAAACCCUACAAGAUUUCCUGGCUUGUGUGUUCAUCUCCCCUCCUGGGAUGAUCUUCCCACUGGAUGGGAUGAUUGCAUUUGUUGCCACGGCAGUUCUUAUAAAAUCCAACCUUUGCAGCAAAGAAACUUCUAUUCCUUGGCCUGGAAUGACACUGCUAAGAUAGAUGUUAUCCAGCCACCAGUGUGUCCAGCGUCUCUUCAUUUUGGUGCCUUUUAAAUAGUGAAAGCUUCAUCUCUAUGCUCUUUAGCACAUCACAUGUCACCAUCUCUACCCCCAUCAACCCCAGUGCCCAGUCAUGAAUGCUUUUUAACCACUGCCCCAACCAGGAUAUCGUGGUCCCACCCCUGACUCAGAUUCAUAGAUGUUAGGGUCGGAAGGGACCUCAAUAGAUCAUCGAGUCCGACCCCCUGCAUAGGCAGGAAAGAGUGCUGGGUCUAGAUGACCCCAGCUAGAUGCCUAUCUAACCUCUUGAAGACCCCCAGGGUAGGGGACAGCACCACCUCCCUUGGGAGCCCGUUCCAGACCUUGGCCACUCUAACUGUGAAGAAGUUCUUCCUAACGUCCAGUCUAAAUCUGCUCUCUGCUAGCUUGUGGCCAUUAUUUCUUGUAACCCCUGGGGGCGCCUUGGUGAAUAACACCUCAUCAAUUCCCUUCUGUGCCCCCGUGAUGAACUUAAAUGUGCCACAUUGCACAAGGACAGGAGGACCUCUGGGUCUGUGAUGAUGAGGACCGUGGGGACAUCUCCAAGUCAGAGGACCUUCUCCCAGGCCAUGAAUAUCACAGAGCUCAGGACUCAGCAGGGUGGCCUCAUGCAAAAACCACGAUCCGGAAGGAUUAGCAGCUGCUGAACAUAUGUUGUUGCAAGCCUGUUACUGUACUUGCAUGGCGGCAUACGUGCCAUUUAGGUGGAUGAAGUGAAAGAGGAUCCAGAUCCCCAUGUCUCUCUGCAUGUCAGCUUCCUGCUGUUGUGCUUUAGCAAGCGUUCCUGCAAUGCAGUUGUGUGGGGAGGAUCUCUCCAUACCUGUUCUACCUACUGGGUCAAGUGUCUUCAGGGCCUUUCUCAGAUUUGAGUCUACCAGUUAGAGAAAUGUCCCUGUCCUGCAGCUUCCAUUUGAUCCAGGCACCUUAGUGGGACAUCUUCUCCCUCAAACACUUGGACGUGAGAACGGCAGCUUUUUUGGCCAUCACUACAGGCGGGAGCAUCAGUGACAGAGGAGUCCCCAGGGGUCCCUAGCCCACAUCCCCUCUCCCCACCCAACGGGCAAGGUUCCCUUUGGGCCCCGUUAGCAGCCUAAAGGUGAUUUCUGGUUCUGUCUUUGCUCCAUCCCUGCAGGCGCUGGUGUGACCAGCCCAGAGCCCCACACUAAGCCAUGAAGGCAUUAGAUUGCACUUUUGUCUGCACUCAGCACAAACAUAUCUCUAGUAUUUGCAAAGACAUAUCUGGGUCCAUAUGGUGUGAGGGAGACAAUGACUGCAGAGCUUCCCAACCACCUCCGGGCUCCUCCAGGCCUUGUCUGAACUCAGGCAUCAGGGUGAGGGCAAUUCUCACAGCUUCCUUGUCUCAGGGCCCAGCUCCUAAGAGGAGCAACAGUUAUCUUGUCAUGUUCACACCUGACUUAUUCCUCUGCAAGCUUUCAGAUCAUGGGGUCCAGGUCAAGACAGCAUCUGGGAAGCCCAUGCUUCCUGCCGAGAGAGCCACUUAAGUCACCAAGAGCACCAACAGCUGGUGUUUCAUCGGACCUUCACCCCCUCCCCAGGGCCAGGAAAAUCAACAAAUCUGGGACCCGCUUGCUGCAUGCUCCUUGCAGAACAGGUGGUCAGAGAUGGGGGGAUCAUGGGCCCUCUUUUGAGAGGGACAAUCACACUAGGGUCGGAAAGCAGAGCUGGCCCCUGACCCUGCUAAUAGAGGAGGAGACCAGCUUGACCCAGAAUCAACCUGGACAGCCCCGAGUUUACAUCAGGGAGGACACAGGUCUCAGCUCUGUGGCCCAUGGGCAGGUGGCCCUUGUGGCAGAAAUGCCACCGUCCAUGCCCCUCUCCAGAGACCUGUCUCUGCCAGCCUGAGAGGCUGGUGUUGAAUCCUUCAGGGCGGGGAUCUCCCACCUUGUCUGCAUGACAAAAGCCUGGGGCCUGAAUGCUCUGGUCACCUGGGCAGGGGGGAAAGGCCCCGCCCUGUGUGCGGGCCCAGGUAGCCAGGGAUGCUUGGUAGAUUGGUCAGCUUGUGGCCUGUAUUGGCACCUUCGAUUGGACCGGGCUGUUGAGGUCAGAGAGGUUAUUUAAGGGCCCGGUCCAGGAAGAAGGAGCCAUUAGCCAUGCGGUCAUCCAGGUGAAUCUGAAACUGGCUCUCUCCUCAUCACCGCAUGCUCCAAGAGUGCCCUGCCUCCAGCAGAAACUCCAACCACCUCUGGAUGAUGCGAGUGAGUAAGCUACUCGAGAUCCGAUUAGAUAUUUAGCUUCAGUAACUCAGAUGCAUGUUUAAACGGCUACCUCAGCCACCCUGGUUUGCUCUGUGGGAUUCCUGUAAUAUUCCUCUGAUAUUGUUCUACCUUUUACCCUGUUUCUGCCCUACCUCCUGAAUCAAUAAAGUUCUCCUUGUGA